CCUACGGGGGGCAGCAGUGGGGGAUAUUGCACAAUGGGGGGAACCCUGAUGCAGCGACGCCGCGUGGGUGAAGAAGCGCCUCGGCGCGUAAAGCCCUGUCAGCAGGGAAGAAAAUGACGGUACCUGAAGAAGAAGCCCCGGCUAACUACGUGCCAGCAGCCGCGGUAAUACGUAGGGGGCAAGCGUUACCGGGAUUAACUGGGUGAAAAGGGGGAGCAGGGGGCGAGGCAAGCACGGAGUGAAAGCCGGGGGCCCAACCCCGGGACUGCUCUUGGAACUGCUUGGCUGGAGUGCAGGAGGGGCAUGCGGAAUUCCUGGUGUAGCGGUGAAAUGCGUAGAUAUCAGGAGGAACACCGGUGGCGAAGGCGGCCUGCUGGACUGCAACUGACGUUGAGGCCCGAAAGCGUGGGGAGCAAACAGGAUUAGAUACCCCAGUAGUC
rnacentral:rRNA from 1 species